ACAAGAAAUGUUUGUUUAUGAAGCAAUUGAGGGGAUGACGCUAAUGUAAGCAAGAGUCACUUAUGAAUGCCAGCAGGGCCUUCAGAAUUGCAGUGGCCGAAAUUAUAAGAAUUUUUAUAGAAAGAAAAACCUGAAAAUUCUGAAUGGUGAAUGGAAGAAUCCUAGGCAAAAGAGAGAAGUAAGAGCUUUCAGUGGGAAAUCUGCCAGCGAAGAAGGAAUGCCCUAAAAGGCUUGCAUUACAGUGGAAGAAGACUGAGCCUUGAGAUUGCCAACAACUCCUAAAGAGCCAGGCAAUGUGGGGCUGACUUCUUCCCUGGGGCUGUUGUCAUCAUCAUGGUCUUCAUCAACCCCAACAUAUGUUCCUGGUUACUACUCCCAGCUUUUCAGCUUCCUACAGGGAGACCAUCAUCUCAUGUGGAGGAUGGAAGCUGACAGUGCCCCCAAAGCCCGGCCUGGUGCCAGAAGGAUGCAUGGAGGGAGGACUGGAAUUGUAGCAUCUCUGCCUUGCACAGUCUGGCUGGAUCUACAGGUUUAGGAUAGAAGAUUCCUUGAGUUGAGCAAGUUCCCCUUUUCAGGCCCUCUUUAUCAACUGGCAGGGGUCAUGUCUACCAGUGAAAACAUACACGACAGACUCCAUGGUCACAUUUGAUUUUUGGAAGAU